rnacentral:rRNA from 1 species
CCCUUAGAUGUUCUGGGCCGCACGCGCGCUACACUGAUGCAUUCAACGAGCCUAUCCUUGACCGACAGGUCCGGGUAAUCUUUGAAUCUGCAUCGUGACGGGGAUAGAUUAUUGCAAUUAUUAAUCUUCAACGAGGAAUGCCUAGUAGGCGCAAGUCAUCAGCUUGCGUCGAUUACGUCCCUGCCCUUUGUACACACCGCCCGUCGCUCCUACCGAUUGGGUGUGCUGGUGAAACUCUCGGAUGUAGGCUAUUCAUAGCCCGCAGAAGAGAUUUGAAUCGUAGCGCUUAGAGGAAGGAGAAGUCGUAACA